rnacentral:rRNA from 1 species
CCUACGGGCGGCAGCAGUGGGGAAUAUUGCACAAUGGGGGAAACCCUGAUGCAGCGACGCCGCGUGAGUGAAGAAGUAUUUCGGUACGUAAAGCUCUAUCAGCAGGGAAGAAAAUGACGGUACCUGACUAAGCAGCCCCGGCUAACUACGUGCCAGCAGCCGCGGUAAUACGUAGGGGGCAAGCGUUAUCCGGAUUUACUGGGUGUAAAGGGAGCGUAGACGGCAGCGCAAGUCUGGAGUGAAAUCCCAUGGCUUAACCAUGGAACUGCUUUGGAAACUGUGCAGCUAGAGUGCAGGAGAGGUAAGCGGAAUUCCUAGUGUAGCGGUGAAAUGCGUAGAUAUUAGGAGGAACACCAGUGGCGAAGGCGGCUUACUGGACUGUAACUGACGUGGAGGCGCGAAAGCGUGGGGAGCAAACAGGAUUAGAUACCCGAGUAGUC